AGUGAACGCUGGCGGUAGGCCUAACACAUGCAAGUCGAACGGCAGCACAGUAAGAGCUUGCUCUUACGGGUGGCGAGUGGCGGACGGGUGAGGAAUACAUCGGAAUCUACUUUUUCGUGGGGGAUAAGGAAGGAAAACUAACGAAAAUACGGAAUACAACAUAGGGGGAAAAGCAGGGAAUUGUAGGACUUUGCGGGAUGAAAGGGGCCGAGGUGGGAUUAGCUAGUGGGCGGGGUAAAGGCCCCCCAGGGCGAGUAUCCGUAGCUGGUCGGAGAGGCUGGUCGCCCACCUUGGACCUGGGACCCGCUCCAGCCUCCUACGGGAGGCACCAUUGGGGAAUAUUGGACAAUGGCCGCAAGCCUGAUCCAGCCAUCCCGCGUGGGUAAGAAAGGCCUUCGGUUUGUAAAGCCCGUUUUUUGGAAAAGAAAAGCAGCAGGUUAAUACCCCGCUGUUCUGACGGUACCCAACGAAUAAGCCCCGGCUAACUUCGUG
rnacentral:rRNA from 1 species